rnacentral:rRNA from 1 species
UACGAAGGGGGCUAGCGUUGCUCGGAAUCACUGGGCGUAAAGCGCACGUAGGCGGCUUUCUAAGUCAGGGGUGAAAUCCUGGAGCUCAACUCCAGAACUGCCUUUGAUACUGGGAAGCUUGAGUCCGGAAGAGGUGAGUGGAACUGCGAGUGUAGAGGUGAAAUUCGUAGAUAUUCGCAAGAACACCAGUGGCGAAGGCGGCUUACUGGUCCGGUUCUGACGCUGAGGCGCGAAAGCGUGGGGAGCAAACAGG